GACGAACGCUGGCGGCGUGCCUAAUACAUGCAAGUCGAGCGGACUUUCAAGAAGCUUGCUUUUUGAAAGUUAGCGGCGGACGGGUGAGUAACACGUGGGCAACCUGCCUGCAAGACGGGGAUAACUCCGGGAAACCGGGGCUAAUACCGGAUAAUAUCUUCCUUCGCAUGAAGGAAGGUUGAAAGACGGCGCAAGCUGCCGCUUGCGAUUGGUCCCCGGCGCAUUUUGCUAGUGGGUAAGUAAAGGCGCACCAAAGGGACGCUUCCUAACCCACCUGAGAGGGGGGGCGGCCAAACUGGGACUGGGACACGGCCCAGACUCCUACGGGAGGCAGCAGUAGGGGAUCUUCCGGAAUGGGGGGAAAGCUGGAGGGGCAACGCCGCGUGGGCGAAGAAGGUCGUCGGAUCGUAAAGCUCUGUUGUCAGGGAAGAAAAAGUACCGUUCGAACAGGGCGGUACCUUGACGGUACCUGACCAGAAAGCCACGGCUAACUACGUG
rnacentral:rRNA from 1 species